rnacentral:rRNA from 1 species
AUUGAACGCUGGCGGCAGGCUUAACACAUGCAAGUCGAGCGGAGAUGAGGUGCUUGCACCUUAUCUUAGCGGCGGACGGGUGAGUAAUGCUUAGGAAUCUGCCUAUUAGUGGGGGACAACAUUCCGAAAGGAAUGCUAAUACCGCAUACGCCCUACGGGGGAAAGCAGGGGAUCUUCGGACCUUGCGCUAAUCGAUGAGCCUAGGUCGGAUUAGUUCGUUGGUGGGGUAGAGGCCUACCAAGGCGACGAUCUGUGGCGGGUCUGAGAGGAUGGUCCGCCACGCUGGGACUGAGACACGGCCCAGACUCCUACGGGAGGCAGCAGUGGGGAAUGUUGGACAAUGUGCGGAAGCCUGAUCCAGCCAUGGCGCGUGUGUGGAGAAGGCCGUUUGGUUGUAAAGCACUUUAAGCGAGGAGGAGGCUACCUGGAUUAAUACUCUAGGAUAGUGGACGUUACUCGCAGAAUAAGCACCGGCUAACUCUGUGCCAGCCGCCGCGGUAAUAC